rnacentral:rRNA from 1 species
AUUGAACGCUGGCGGCAUGCUUUACACAUGCCAGUCGAACGGUAACAGGCCGCAAGGUGCUGACGAGUGGCGAACGGGUGAGUAAUGCAUCGGAACGUGCCCAGUCGUGGGGGAUAACUACUCGAAAGAGUAGCUAAUACCGCAUACGAUCUAUGGAUGAAAGCGGGGGACCGUAAGGCCUCGCGCGAUUGGAGCGGCCGAUGUCAGAUUAGGUAGUUGGUGGGGUAAAGGCUCACCAAGCCAACGAUCUGUAGCUGGUCUGAGAGGACGACCAGCCACAUAGGGACUGAGAAACGGCCCAGGCCCCAGGGGGAGGGAGGGGGGGGAAAUUUUGGACAAUGGGCGAAAGCCUGAUCCAGAAAGGCCGCGUGGAGGAAGAAGGCCUUCGGGUUGGAAACUGCUUUUGUACGGAAGGAAACGGCUCUGGUUAAACCCCGGGGCUAAGGACGGUACCGUAAGAAUAAGCACCGGCUAACUACGU